ACUUAAUGAAUUGAUGCACUUGUGAUGAUGAAUCAAACCAUCUUGUUUAUCUGGUUUUAUGUAAAUUUUGGUACUUAACUGCAAACUUCUGAACAUUUUGAAUUAUUUUGUUUGUAGUAGAAAAAGAGGUUUGUCUCAUUUUAAAAGAAAUCUUUGGCUUAGCAUAGGUCAAACUGAUGAAUAUUAUGGCAUCCUCAGUGAUUUCAUUUAAAUUAAAAAAAAUAAUUUUCACUGUUUGGAUUUUUUUUGGCUAUAUGAAUAUUUUUUCAUUAAUUCAAAUGAAAACUAAUGAAUUUUAAAUGAUUUGAUAAAUAAUGAAUAUUUUGUUUGAGUGACAAUAUUAAUGAUAACAAAAGGUUUUUCUAUGUUUUUAGUUAAAAUUAUUCAAGAGAUUUUGAAAUUACAAUUUGCCAAAUACAUACAGUUGUUCUAUAAAGUAUGUUAUUUGUCCUUGACCAAAUUUUCAUUGUUAAGGUACUGUUUAAGAAGCUCUAUUAAUUUUGUCAUUAGAAUUUCCCACUUGUGAGUAACAAGGAUAGCUAUAUUUGAUACAUGGGAUCCUUGCAAGGUUUUCAUUUCCAUCAAACAGGGUUUUCCUUACCUUGACCUGAAAUCAUGGCAUUUUAGGUUUGAGUUUUCUCAGAUAAGUUAAUACCUCAGAUACUUUAUGCAAAAUGUCGAAGUAUUUGGUGUAUGACUUCCAACCAAUUGUAAAAGUUAAAUUUUUUAUGGAAUAAAAGUUAUUGCCUUAUUUCUCAGAUAUUCUAAGCAAUAUAUAACAUUAAUGUUUAAAGUGUGCAUUGCUGUAAGAUGUUAAAGUGUGUCUGGCAUGUUUCAUCUGACCUUGACCCCCUUUUUUCAUAUUCAUGGUGUAUUGGUUUAUAAGUGUUUUGUAUUCAUGAUGAGGUCUGUUUCACAGAUACUGUAAGCAAUAGAUCUAUAAAAUAAUUGUAUGGUGUACAUGUUUGUCUGUUAGGUUCAUCUGACCUUCACCUCAUUUUCUUGGUUCAUUGGACCAUCUUCUCAGAUACGAUCGGCAGUAGAUUCACUAUGUAUGGUGUAUUUAAUGUUAGUAGGUUGUACAUGCAUGUCUUUCAGUGUUCAUCAGGCCCUUAUUUAUUUGAUUCAUUGGUCAACACAAACUUUUUAUGGUUCCAAUCAUUUAUCAGAUACAUUGUACUUUCAGCAAUAGGUCAACUUAUUGGAACAAUGUGAGGCGUGCAUGUCUGUCUGGCAGGGUUUAUCUUACCUUUACUUAUUUACAUGGAUCAUUGAUAAUAAUACUUCUAGUAUAAACCUUAAGACUAUCUGUCCUAUGGCAUCUGUAGCAGGACACAAUUAAAUUAAUAUUUUGACACAUAAGAUAAAAAUUUAGUCUUUAAUUAUAUUGAUAUAAAACAUGCUGUUUCUGUCAUGAAUGUGUGUACACAAAUACUCUCAAUAAUAACAAUGGCUGUGAAUCUUUUAUCGUAUAUUGUUAUUGCUUAUUUACAUAAAUGUAUGAAUAUUAUGUGUGUUUUGUUUAUUAAAUUUACAAGUGGAAAAAAUUAUUGCCAAUGAGACAACUUUUUAUUAGGGACCAAAUGAUGUAGAAGAUAGAAACUAGAGGUCACUGUACAAAUGU
rnacentral:lncRNA from 1 species